rnacentral:SRP_RNA from 1 species
GUGCGGGCCCUGUGCAACAAGACACCGUGAACCAUGUCAGGCGGGAGACCGAGCAGCAUUAAGCGGAACGUCUCGUGUGCCGCAGCCAGCCUGCACAUC